rnacentral:rRNA from 1 species
CCCGACUCCACGAAGCUGGAUUCGCUAGUAAUCGCGCAUCAGCCAUGGCGCGGUGAAUACGUUCCCGGGCCUUGUACACACCGCCCGUCAAGCCAUGAAAGCCGGGGGUGCCUGAAGUCCGUGACCGCGAGGGUCGGCCUAGGGUAAAACUGGUGAUUGGGGCUAAGUCGUAACAAGGUAGC